CCGCGCCGUCCCUUCUGCCGCGUGCGUUGUCGCGGCCGAUGCCGGUGGCUGAAGGCGCCGCCGGCGGAAGGCAGCCAACGUUUUCCUAAAAAGAAGGCGGCGGGAGGAGGGGGAGGAGGAGGAGGGGGGGGGGGGAUUCCUUUCCUUUCCUUUCCUUUCCUUUAGAAAAGAGCUGAGCGCACGGCGGCGGGGAGGCACGCGGCGCACGGGAAGGAGGAGGAUGGGGAGCCCGUGCCCGGAGCCCGCGGCACUUCCCGGGCCGCCCUAUCCAAGCGGCGGGCGCUGUCGCGGGGAGGGGUCCUCGGGUGCCCUCCCCAACUUCCCCCCAGGGCCUAUUUCAGCCGCGGGGAAACCGACGCAAAGCGGCCGCGGUGCCGCAGCCGCAGAGGAACGAUGACCCGCAAAGCUUCGACAUGGGGGUGCUGCCGUCGAGCUGCUGUCCCGAGGUGCGUUUCACAGAGGGAGCUGCAGCACCGCACAUGUGGGCUUCGCGGGUCAGAGGUCGGACGGCCCCGGAGUGCGGAGCUCGGCCCCAUCAAAGCCGACCGCAGCUCCGUAUCUCUCCGUGAGAGCGGCGGGCGGAUGGCGGCUGCGGCGCGGACGGCGCUGCAGUGCUUCUCCCGGCCCGGCUCUCCCCUCUCCGGCCCGGCCCGGCUGCGGCUGUCCGGCCCCGCCGCAGCCCCGUGGGCAGAGGUAGGGGUGCGAGGGGGCACGGCGGGGGUACGCGAGGCACUGAACGGUGCCCCCGCCCCAGCUGUCUCCACGUUAGCAGCCGGCAACGGGAGGGGCUGUUUUAAAGGGAAAUUCGGAACGCUUACAGAAGGAGGGUGCUCCCGGCAGGGAUCUGCGGGUCGGGAGCGGCCAGAAACCUGCUGGGAAAAAAUAAUAAUAAUAAAAAUUCAAAUUCAAAUCAGACCUGAAGUUCUGUCCGCGGAGGAGAGCUCCGGCCCGGCUCCGGAAUCACAUUCUACCCGGAGAGGGGCUCUCCGGCGCCCGGGGAAAAGGGGCCGCGGUGCGGGGAGGGGUAAAGAGACUCUCGGGGGACGGCCGUGCGACUUUGAACUUGGAACGGCCCCGCUGCGUCCUGGGGGUGCGGCACCGGGAGGGGAACGGAGCGCGGCCGGGCUGCGAUAGUCCCUGUGUGCCCCGGAGGAGAGAGAGGGGACGGGGCAGGAGGGAAGGGAGGGAUGGGAGAAGGGAGAGGGGUAAAAAGGGAAACAGGGAGGGAACGGGAACAGGAAGAGAGGAAGGAAGGAAAGGAAGGAAAGGAAGGAAAGGAAGGAAAGGAAGGAAAGGAAGGAAAGGAAGGAAAGGAAGGGAGAGGUAAAGUAAAGGGAAGAGAGAAAAAAAAUAAAGGAAAGAAAGAAAUAAAAGAAAGGGGGAGAAAAAAAAGAAAGAAAAGAAGGAAGGAAAGAAUAAAGAGAAGGAAGAAAGGAGAACGAGGGGUAAAUCCAGAAGGUAGACAGAUAUUUGUAUGGACAUUCUUUUUUUUCUUUUUUUUUUCCUUCUCCAAACCAAUAUUUCAUUGGGGUUUUUCUCUGAGCCUUUCGGGGUUCCUCUCCGAUCCGAGAUGCAACCGCACUUUCUGCAUUACUCUCUCGGUGAAGUCCCGGCUCCUGCAGAGCGUUGUCCACACGCAGCGCGGAGGCACAGCCCCGGCCUCUCCCUCACCUCCGGGGCACCUCCAGGCCCUCCUCCUCCUCCAAAACGUUCCGGGGAAAGGAAACGGUUUGUCCGCCCUCCGUGCCCGCAGCCCGGGCUGUGCGGGGGCCGGCAGUCAGCGGGCAUGGAUGGAGCGGGGCUGAGGGCUGAGGGCUGCGGGGCGGGGCGGGGGGAGGAUGAAACCUCGGCCCAGGCAGAGAGCAACAGCGCGACACUGCAUUUCGGACAGGGCUUGGAACGUUUUAACUGUUUGGUGGCAGCAGUGGGGGAACCUUCUCUAACAACCCUACACUGCAGACAGUGCUACCUUUUCCUUCUUUCCUUCCUUCCUUCUUUCUCUCCUUCCUUCCUUCCUUCCUUCCUUCCUUCCUUCCUUUUCUUUCUCUCUUUCCUUCCUUCCUUUUCUUUCUCUUUCCUUCCUUCCUUUUCUUUCUCUUUCCUUCCUUCCUUUUCUUUCUCUUUCCUUCUUUCCUUUUCUUUCUCUUUCCUUCUUUCCUUUUCUUUCUCUCUUUCUUUCCUUCCUUCCUUUUCUCUCUUUCCUUCCUUCCUUUUCUCUCUUUCCUUCCUUCCUUCUGUCUUUCUCUCUUUCCUUCCUUCCUUCCCUCCAUCCUUUCCAUCCAUCUAUCCAUCCUUCCUUCCUUCCCCGCAUCCUUUCCAUCCAUCUACCUAUCCAUCCAUGUAUCCAUCCAUCCAUCCAUCCAUCCAUCCACCCAUCCAUCCAUCCACUCUCUGGGUGCAGAGCAGCCGAGAGCCGGCGGGAUAUGGCCCCACUGUACCACCGCAACACCAUAUCGCUUUUUAACGCUGGAGAAGCCCCGUUCGGUGCUACCCGUGCCCCCAGCACAGCUCGUGCCCAGCCGUGUUUUUAUGGUGGGGGAGGGGGGCAGCUGACCUGCUCGCUUUUCUAUUCCCGCCGUGAGAGGAUCCGGUUUGCCAAUAACAAUGGCGGGGCGGGGGGGGAAGGGGCGGGGGGGGGGGGGGGGAGGCCGGUUUGGGUUGGUUUUGUUUGUUUGGGUUUUUUGGGUUUCUCUUUAAAGAACGGAACGAGAGCGGAGGGCUCCCGGAACACCGCCCCGGGACGCAGCACAGCGGAGCAGCCCCGCCCCGUGCGGGGUCCGACGGCCGCCCCGGCCCUCUCCGGCGUUCCCUUCUGUGUCCAUUCCCAUCUCGGUGCAGGACUUCAGCUCGGCAUCCCCCCACCCCCCCGCCCGCCCCCCCCAACCCGGCCCCGCUCCCUGCGUCUCUCGUGAGCUUCGUGUGCCUGAGCCGAGAGGGGGAAGGGGCUGCGGGGUGUGGGGGUGUGGGGGGGGCGCCCCUCCCUCCGUCACCACCUGAAAAGAUAGAAAUUAAUACAAAUGAAAAAAUCAUUCAAAAACAAAUUCUCUCCCCUCCCCCCCCCCCCUCCCCCCACACCUCUCCCCCGCGUCGAUGCUCGAAGCCCCUCGCUUUGUUUGUUUGCUCCCCAGGCACAGCGGCAUCGCCCGUGCCGUGCGGCUCUCCCCGCAACGCCGCCCCUUCCCUUCACCGCCCUAAAAUCCGAGGGGGCGGCCGGGGAAGGGGGGG
rnacentral:lncRNA from 1 species